UGGGAGUGUCAUAUAUCAAUCUGUUGAUUUCAUUGGUUAAGUUAUAAUAAACCAGCUGCUUGGCCUCAUGGCUUGGAACAUAGAUGGGAGGAGUAAACAGAAUAGAAUUCUGGGCGGAAGAGGAAGUGAGGUCAGACUCUGCUCUGCUUCCGGGGAGAGAGCCGACAGCUCAGGAGCACAGACGCCAUGCUCAGCUCUCCCGGGUAGACGUGAUAGCUCUGCUCUCUGAGGCACACACGAUGAAGAUGGAUGUAGGCUAGAAUCUUCCCGAAAAUAGAAAUGCCGAGACCUCCCUCCAGUCACCCACUGAUGGACCACAACCCCUACAUACACCCCAAGCUACAGCAAUGUUGGCUUGGGGCUUUUCCUGGAACCUGGUGCUACCUGCUGUUGGUCAUUAGCAUCUCCUCAGCUCCCUGUCACCCCUUACACAAAGAGUCUGGAAUGUAAUACCCAGCAUCCAUCUUUGGAAGCCCCCUUUCCCUGGGAGUCGCCUUGGUCCGGACUCCACCUCCAGGAAAACCCACCAAGCAGUGACCCUCCCCCAGGAAGGGCCAAAAAGCCCGCCUAGCGGUGGACCACUCCCACAGGCUAUUUAGGCUGCCGCCCAAAAGAGGAACAGGUGGUCUCAGGUUUCGCGUGGU